GGGAAGGUGGCGGAACGGCAGACGCGGCGGACUUAAAAUCCGCUGAGGCAACCCCUCGUGUGGGUUCGAAUCCCACCCUUCCUA
rnacentral:tRNA from 1 species